AUUGAACGCUGGCGGCAUGCCUUACACAUGCAAGUCGAACGGCAGCACGGGGGCAACCCUGGUGGCGAGUGGCGAACGGGUGAGUAAUGCAUCGGAACGUGCCCCGUAGCGGGGGAUAACCAGUCGAAAGACUGGCUAAUACCGCAUGCGCUCCACGGAGGAAAGACAGGGGAGUCGCAAGACCUUGCACUAUGGGAGCGGCCGAUGCCCGAUUAGCUAGUUGGGAGGUAGAGGCUCACCAAGGCGACGAUCGGUAGCUGGUUUG
rnacentral:rRNA from 1 species